GACGAACGCUGGCGGCGUGCUUAACACAUGCAAGUCGAGCGGAAAGGCCACUUCGGUGGUACUCGAGCGGCGAACGGGUGCGUAACACGUGAGUAAUCUGCCCCUGGCUUUGGGAUAGCCACCGGAAACGGUGAUUAAUACCGGAUAUGACACAUUCUCGCAUGAGUUUGUGUGGAAAGUUUUUCGGCCAGGGAUGUGCUCGCGGCCUAUCAGCUUGAUGGUGAGGUAAUGGCUCACCAUGGCUUCGACGGGUAGCCGGCCUGAGAGGGUGACCGGUCACACUGGGACUGAGACACGGCCCAGACUCCUACGGGAGGCAGCAGUGGGGAAUAUUGGACAAUGGGCGGAAGCCUGAUCCAACAACGCCGCGUGAGGGAUGACGGCCUUCGGGUUGUAAACCUCUUUCAGUACCGACGAAGCGCAAGUGACGGUAGGUACAGAAGAAGCACCGGCCAACUACGUG
rnacentral:rRNA from 1 species